GGCGUCCAUCUGUCAAAGCGUCGUCGGCGCGGUCAUUACUAAUAUUCAGUCGAGAGGAAAGUAACGUUUAGUGCCUUUUCUCAUUGGCUUCUUUGGGUUAUUGGAUUACAACUGGUCGCCAGAACGCACACAGCGACUGUUUUUGGGGCUGACGAGUGCCACAACGCAUCACUUUAGCCAGGAUGGAGUUAAUGUUGGACACCGCUAAGAGCCAGGGUCAGACCCAGAGCCAGGGGGGUCAGACUGUCUCCCCUCCCUCAAUCUUCCCCUAUCGCUUCACCUCGGACGGGCGUCUGUGUCACCGGGUCACCCAGGAGCCCUUCAUGUUCCAGCGGAGCUGUGACCCAGACGCCGCCCAGAGAGAGGACCAGGCCUUAUGUCUCCACGUCACCCAACACGUUCACUCUCUCCUGGAGGAGCAGCUGCACCUCUUCAGGCUCCACCUCCCUCCUCCAUCUCUCAGCAAGGGGGUCUACCUCCCUCCUCCAUCUCUCAGCAAGGGGGUCUACCUCCCUCCUCCAGCAGAGCCUCAGGGGCAAGGGGACCACAGGGUCUACUUUAGCCCCCACCGAGGAGCCCCCAGCCAGGGCUACGUGUACCUCUCCCCUGGGGCCCUGGAGAGCCCUGCCACCCUGUUGGUGGUGGUCCAGGACCGGGGAACGAUGCGCUGUGGGCUGUGGAGCUGGAGGGCUGCUGCCAGCCGAGGUCUGGAAAGAGGCAGCAUGAUCCCCUACGUGAAGAGGGUCCUAGAAGAGGGCAGCUCUGUCCUCCUGAUGAACCCCAACCAGGGAGGAGGUGUUGGGGAGACUCCGGAGGAGCACGUUCACCGCGUCUGGGACCUCCUGGUGUCGCGCUGCGUCUCCCGGCGUGUCGUCGUGGUAGCGCACGGUUAUGGAGGCCUGGCGUUCGUGGACCUGCUGUGCCGACGCCCACAACAAGUGGUGGGGCAGGUGUGGGCGGCGGCCUUCCUGGACUCCUCCCACAGCCUGUGGCACCAGCCGUUGGACGCGGUGGGCCGGGAGUGGCUGAGGACACGCUCUAGGAGGUGGGUACUGAGCUCCAAACCCCUGAACCAGCCGGUGGGGUCACUGAAAGCAGGAUGCCCUCAGAUGUCAGCUGGGACACAGAGUCAUGACGCGGCUCCAUCUGUCUGCAUGGAGUCUGUGUUCAGGUUCUUCUCCAAAACGCUGAGUCCUAAACCACCCACCACCUUCAGUAUGGUGACCCGCAGCAGGGGGCACAGUGGGACAGAUCAGACCUCACAACAGGAGAGGCAUCACCAGGCCUUACUGACAGCACCAGUGGGACAGAUCAGACCUCACAACAGGAGAGGCAUCACCAGGCCUUACUGACAGCACAGAUCAGACCUCACAACGGGAGAGGCAUCACCAGGCCUUACUGACAGCACAGAUCAGACCUCACAACAGGAGAGGCAUCACCAGGCCUUACUGACAGCACCAGUGGGACAGAUCAGACCUCACAACAGGAGAGGCAUCACCAGGCCUUUACUGACAGCACCAGUGGGACAGAUCAGACCUCACAACAGGAGAGGCAUCACCAGGCCUUACUGACAGCACCAGUGGGACAGAGCAGACCUCACAACAGGAGAGGCAUCACCAGGCCUUACUGACAGCACAGAUCAGACCUCACAACAGGAGAGGCAUCACCAGGCCUUACUGACAGCACCAGUGGGACAGAUCAGACCUCACAACAGGAGAGGCAUCACCAGGCCUUACUGACAGCACAGAUCAGACCUCACAACAGGAGAGGCAUCACCAGGCCUUACUGACAGCACAGAUCAGACCUCACAACAGGAGAGGCAUCACCAGGCCUUACUGACAGCACAGAUCAGACCUCACAACAGGAGAGGCAUCACCAGGCCUUACUGACAGCACCAGUGGGACAGAGCAGACCUCACAACAGGAGAGGCAUCGCCAGGCCUUACUGACAGCACAGAUCAGACCUCACAACACCAGUGAAGUACAGGAGUACAGUGGGAAUUGAGUAUUUAUCUUACGGUCAGAAAGACACGUCUAAUUCACGCAAAUACAUUUUUACUGGAAACUGGAUGAGGUCAUCCUAAAUAUUUAGUUUCAUUUUGCUAAGACACUCCAGGUUAUCCUAUUAUAUUUAGUUUCAUUUUGCUAAGACACUCCAGGUAAAUAUUUAGUUUCAUUUUGCUAAGACACUCCAGGUCAUCCUAAAUAUUUAGUUUCAUUUUGCUAAGACACUCCAGGUAAAUAUUUAGUUUCAUUUUGCUAAGACACUCCAGGUAAAUAUUUAGUUUCAUUUUGCUAAGACACUCCAGGUCAUCCUAAAUAUUUAGUUUCAUUUUGCUAAGACACUCCAGGUAAAUAUUUAGUUUCAUUUUGCUAAGACACUCCAGGUAAAUAUUUAGUUUCAUUUUGCUAAGACACUCCAGGUAAAUAUUUAGUUUCAUUUUGUUAAGACACUCCAGGGCAUCCUAAAUAUUUAGUUUCAUUUUGCUAAGACACUCCAGGGCAUCCUAAAUAUUUAGUUUCAUUUUGCUAAGACACUCCAGGUCAUCCUAUUAUAUUUAGUUUCAUUUUGUUAAGACACUCCAGGUAAAUAUUUAGUUUCAUUUUGUUAAGACACUCCAGGU